AUUCCUUGUCGGGUAAGUUCCGACCCGCACGAAAGGCGUAACGAUUUGGGCACUGUCUCAACAACAGACUCGGUGAAAUUGUAAUUCCGGUGAAGAUGCCGGAUACCUGCGACAGGACGGAAAGACCCCAUGGAGCUUUACUGUAGCUUGACAUUGGGUCUUGGUACUACAUGUACAGGAUAGGUGGGAGGCUUUGAAACCAGGACG
rnacentral:rRNA from 1 species